ensembl:lncRNA
AUGAUCUUUAAAUUAGCUCUUCACCCCACCCCCCACCCCAUCCUCUGUCCAACUUCCAAGGAUGGACGCUUGACCUUGUUCACAGCAGACAUCAGAGAAAGAAGAUGGGACUUCCUUCCUCCUGGAGCUGUCCUGGCCCUCGGAGCGCCUGUGUCCCCAGCAGAGAGAACCCGUCCUCAUCAGCUUUUAACCCCUGCAGAUGGCUUCAGCUCCCUCUCACUCCACCUUCUAGAGACGAUCCGUUGCCUCCAAUUCCUGAGACUCGGAGAGAUUCUGUCACGUAAACAGGCUUGUUCCUCACAUCUGCUAAAUUUGUUACCUCACAAUCAUCUGCUUCCAGCUUCCAAAAUAUUUUUGCUGCUGCUGUCUCUUUUGUUUUCCCUAUCCUUGUAGGUGUGUGUGCUUAAAAAAAAAUCUUUCCUGUUAUGUUAAUGCAAUUUGUGGUGGAAACACAAUAAAUUGCCUGUGCUCAAUGGAUUAUCAUUAUUUGACGCAAAAGUUCUUUUUUAUACAUUUGUGUAUUUUUGAAAGUUUUUACCAUAACCAUAUUACUUGGUAAUUGGAAUAUAAAUUUACUCAAUAAAACCAUUGAAAGGAUACUUUCAAUAUACAAAGGUAAUCAGGCUGACUUGCUACCCCCGCUCCGGGCCCUCCUCCGAAUACCCAUUUAUACAUAUAUAAAUAAUGAGAAAGCUUAACUCUAAAAAAAAAUGUGUUCUAUUAUAUGAUGAUCUCUGUUUAUAAUGAGACCCUGAAGUAUGACCACAUCCUAAUAAGUCGUCUAAAUCACCUGCGAUUUUGGUGGAACUGUAACAGAUGCUAUCUUUCAUGUGACUAUUUCUGAACUUUAAAUCACCUUCUAUGAAGAGACCCAAGGGAAUGAGUGCAAAUCGAAUCACUCCUGGGAGAAUUUCCUGAAAAGAUAUCAAAAGUAAACCAUAUGCACAAUGAAAAAAAUAAUACUAACAAAUAAUAAAAUAAUAAGAAGGCACGGGUGCACACGUGUCCUGCCCCGCAGAGGCCCUGGCAGGUCCCGGGGCUGCCCUAAGUUCUAGAGAGCCUGGCUCAGCUCAUUGAUAACCCAUUAAAGUUUCUCUCUAUUCGUAAGAGGAUUCAGUGUAAAAUCCCCCAAAAUAAUAGUCUUCUAAGAAAUAGGGAUGUGUUACACGUGAGGAUUCUCUCUUUCCCAGUGGCUUCUUUGUCCUGUAUGCUAAAAGCAUACUUGCUCAGGGCACUUUUCACAUCCUGCUUUACUUUGGAGUUAGCCACGGGCCUGCUUUACGCCCAACACUAGACUGUAAGCCCUCUUGGGGAGAGACUAUGUCUGAUUAUGCUUCCGUUUUCAUACAGCCUCUAGAAUACCGCCACAUGCAAAACAGAAGGCUAACAUUAAAUGUCCUUCCGUUACAAGCAAGGGCACAUGACCAGCUUUUCUUUUUCAACACACACACUAACAACAGCAUGAGGUCAAGGAAGGAAAAUAAAGAAAGGAGGAAGAGAUCAGGAGUGUCUGAAGCAUUUAAAGAUGCAAAGAAAAAACAGUGAGGAAAAUGCCACUGUAUUUGGAAAAAGAAAUCAAAGCAUAUCGGAAGUAAGAAAGGGGUACCAGAUUAUUUCAUAUUAUUCGGGAAGUCCCAUAUGGUGCAGUAAGUACUGACAUUAGAAAGGAGAAGAUUAUUAAAUUGUCAUUAUUUACGCAUGUGAUCAUGGCCUAUUUAGAAAAUUCAAAAUAAUCAGCUAAAACGUUAUUGGAAACUAGGUGAAGGGUUAGUAAAGAAAGGCAAGGACAAACCUAAGCAAUUAUUUGUUCAGUGAAGAAAUAUUAACCAACAGAAAACCAUAAUGGAAAAUGACACUAAUCAAAAUCGAUAGUGACAGCAGUAACAAUAAUAGUAAUAGCUCGCGUGUGGAAUGCUAACCAUCUGCAAAGCCCCGCGCUGUGCACUUUACUUUAUUUCACGUUACCCGCACAUCUCUAGGAGGUAUUACUCUUAGCAUCUUUACUUCAUAGAGGAGAAAACUGGGACGGAAAGAAUUCCAAUAAUUUGCCCAAGUUGUGGAACCCACUGGUGGUGCUAUGCUCCCAUCAAGCCACACCCAAGGUUGACUUCAGAUCCCAAAGGAACGUCCUGUAGUGAAUCUAUGAAGAACAUAAAAACUUUAAUAAGCACCAACCCAUGCAUUACUCCCGGAUACAAACUUGGUACCAGAAAAAUCUCAAUUCUCCGUACGUCCUCCAUAUAUUCAGUGCCACCCAAAUGUACCGUACCAGCAAGAUUCUUUUUCUUUUCUCAAACUCUGUUUCCUACCCUCGUUCCUUUUCCUCUUUAUUCCAAUACUUCCUAUAAAACGAUCCUAUAGUUUAUCUGGAAGAAUUAAGCAUGUGAAAAUAUCCAGGAGAAUUCUGCAGAAAGACUAGUGAGGGAUCUUGUCCUACCAAACUCUGAAACACACACAAGCGCCACAAGCAUUGUGGGAGAUGCUCAUGAACAGGCAGGUUGAGGCAGCAGGAGACGGCCUUCAGGAAUAGAAGCAAGUAGUCACGGAUGUCGUGUGUUGUAUCAUAGUGUUACCCACUUUAGUCAGAUGGGCAAGGAUGAAGAAUCUGAAAAUAGUUCAUGCUAGCCAAGGUGAGAACUGUGGUGACUGGUUAGUGGAAGCGUAAAUGGAUCUGACUCUUGGAGGAGUAAUUCGCAUAUGUAUGUACUGAAUAUCAACUCUCUGACCCCGUCAUCUCAUUACUAAGAAUGUUUUAAGGGACCAGAUGCAUAAAUCAACCAUUUUGAUUAUAGGAAAAUACUAUAAAUAACCUAAAUGUAUAAUAGUGAAGAUGUGUAAUAAUGUACCAUGCGUAAUAAUAAUGUCCUCAAAAUUUAGGGACAUACUCAAAGGUAACUUAUUUAAAAGUAAUCAUUUAAGGGGCGCCUGGGUGGCUCAGUUGGUUAGGCGUCCAACUUAGGCUCAAAUCAUGAUCUCAAGGUUUGGGAGUUCAAGCCUUACAUCAGGCUCUGUGCUGACAGAUUGGAGCCUGGAGCCUGUUUUAACAUUCUGUCUCCCUCUCUCUCUGCCCCUCCCCCACUCAUGCUCUGUCUCUCAGAAAUAAAUAAAAACAUUUUUUAAAAGUUAAAAUAAAAAAAUUGUUUAAGUAAUCACUUAGGGGCCACCUGGGUGGUUCAGUCAGUGAAGUGUCUGCCUCUUGGUUUCAGCUCCGGUCAUGUUCUCAUGGUUCAUGAGUUCAAGCCAUGCAUGAAGCUUCACACUGACAGUGUGGAGUCUGCUUGGGAUUCUCUCUCUCCCUCUCUAUCUCUCUCUUUCUCUCUCUCUCUCUCUCA